CAGCAAAGGGAAAAAAGAAGAAAGAAGAAGAGAAGAGAAGAAGAGAAGAAGAGAAGAAGAGAAGAGAGGAGAAGAAGAUCAGAGAAGAAAUUUCUGCUCUUAGGAUUAGGUUAGAAGAUUCAACUACCAGGUAAGUUACAUUACUCACCUAUAUUAAUCUGUGGUAAGAGGAAAUUUUCAGAAAUUAGAAAGGGUAUGAUCAGAUUCUGCUAUAAGGAAGAAUUCUGGAAUUUCAGCAAGAAAUUGAUGUAAAGAGCUCUUAAAUUCUAGGAAGGCGAUUUUUUGAAAUUUGGAGGAAAGAGAAGGCACGAUUUUUUAGGGGGUGUUAUCAGGACGUUGCUGAGGCGUGCUGGUUAGGGUUCCUCCCAUGGGAGAUCCAUAUGGGAUCAGCUCCGGUGAUCAGCGGUGGCUGGAUCCGAUUGGAAAAAGGGAUUCUACUGGAGGGGGCGAUGUGGGUGAGCAUGGUAGACAUGCUUUGUUCACUCAAUUCUGGAAACCGGCACCUAGGUUUGGUAUACAGGCGGUUAUGGUUCCUGAUGAAGUUCUUUCUCUAAAGGAAGGGUCUGGUGGCUCUCGUGCAGGUGUGGUUGGGGGGCUGGACGGUCAAGCUGCUGUGAAUCUCAUGAAGGUGUGUGGCUGAUGGGUUCUUCUCAAGAUAGUUUAGAUGGGUCGAUUUCUACUAUCAACACAACAACUGCUGCUGUGAAGCGUUCAUAUGCAACGACUGUUGGAGGAGGGGGUUGAGAAGCUGUUGGAUGUGUGUGGCCUGACAUUGAAGCAUUUCCUAAACCAAUUCAAGCUGGGAGUAUUACCCGUGUAAUUAUCCCACAAGACGAUUAUGAGAGGGUGCGGCAGAAUUUUAGGGUUUUCAAGAGAUGUGCACGCGUUGAUGCUAAAUGAAUGGAGGUGGUUCAGUCUAGAAGCAAGGGAAAAUGAUCAAAAGCAGAGUUGGAAUUUUCAAGAGAAGAAGAGAAUAAAAAAAAAUUAAAAAAAGGAAAUUGAGGAGAGAAAGAAAACCCGACGGUUCUCCUUCUCUCCCUAUUUCACACACCCUUCUCUUCUUUCCUCUCCUAUUCACUCUCAUCUUUUUCUCUCUCCUUGUCCAAAUUAGAUUAGGACACUUUCUUUUCCCUAAAAUAUCUCCCCUAAUACAAACUCAGCCCAUGACUCCAUCUCCUUUCACAACUCCACUUCUUUUACAUUUUCUCUCUCUUCGUCUUAAAAUCCCUAUCCCCAAUUUCUCUUAUCAAUUUCUUUUCCUAUAAUUUCUCUCUUCUCUCUCCCAUCUCACCAAAUCCUUCAUCUCUCUCUCCUCUUUGGUCACAUCUCACAUGCACACUCCCUCCCUUGUUUUUCUCCCACGGAUUCCCUCUCUUUUCCCUGUUUUCUCUCCCAUGCCCGCGCAUCUUUCUCUCUCCUAUUCUCUUUGUUCUCACCUAAAUCUCUCCCUUUCACUCAUGGCUAUCCCUCACCCACAUCUCUCUCCUCCUUGCUCUCCCAUCUCAUGCACCCUUAUCUAAAUAUCUCUCUCGGUCCUUCUCUUUUGGGGACUCUUCACACUCAUUCUCUUGGACAUAGGCUGCGCAUAUCAACCCCUCAUAUACAACAUCCCUAGCUUGUUUUUCUUUCUUGGUUCUCACAGUUCUCCCUUCUUCUUAGAUUGCACCUGCUUUGGAAUGGAUUUUUCUGGACAACAUUGCACAAAGGUCAUUGCCAUUGCAUCGAGAUGGUGGAACCAGUGCUGAGGCAACAUUGGACUUCGGCAGCGGUCGUGAGGCUUGUGUCUACGAGACACUGGAUUGCUGAUGGACUUCACUUUCGUUAUUUCAGUUAUUUCUGUUAAUGUAAUUAUUUAUGAAAUGUGUAGUAUGUAGUA